GGGCGGUCUCAGACAGAUCUUAGUUUCGUUGGAAUGUUGCAGGGCGGAGAUUGAAGCAGCAGCGCAGUGAAAGGUUUACAGAACGUGCUUGCACCAGAUUGCGAACAGUACCCUGUGUGCUUGCUGGUAAGCAAAAAGGUGCGAACGAGCUUCGAGGUUCAUAAGACCUGCGCAGAGUCGUAAGUUUCUUAGUUACUGACUGUGUAUUUUGGACAAAUUUUGUCGCACGAUGGAAGUUUGACGGUCGAGUUCGGCUUUAAGGUGAACGGACUGGUACUACCUCACUUAUCAGUAUUAGUCUUUUCUAUUCAAGCGCGUUAAAAUUUUGAAAUCGAUAGGGAUGUGAAAGUUGUGUCGCGGGUUUGUGAGAUCAUGAGAGCCUACAAAGACGAGUGGAACUUUGUCUAGCUGUUCCUCCGCUGCUGCUCAGGUGUGUGAAAUAGAACAAACUCGGACUGCACGGAAUCUAAGCGGUUAAUCGAGGCUGUUGUAAUUUCCACACGUAUUGGCCUUUUAGCAGAGAUGUUCCUUUGCAUCCGGUUGCGUACUUUGAUGAUCAAAUAGUUCACCACUUUCUUUGAACUUGUGCGUAACCAGGAGUGAGGGUGCUGGUUCGCUAAGGCUGUUCGUAUGAAGAAUUGCAGGAGAAUGCUGUGGAAGACUUUUACGUUCCAGAUGAACUGAUGCCGCAAUUGGUGCAUGAGUUCAAGGUGUCAUUUCAAAGUAAGAUGUCUAUGCACUGUCUGAAAUGACGUGGCAAUUUUGAGAAGAUGGUUCGCCUAUCAAUAAACAUUGAUGGGAGAGUGCAAAUCAUCAGACAAGCCAGCACAAGUACAUUUGAGAUUUGAUAUUUGAAAAAUUAAAAAAUUAAAAAAUUAAAAUUAAAAUUUUCUAUUUUUGUAACAUCAUUCAUGAUUUUACAUUUUAUUACUCCUCAAAUUUGAACAAAGUGUGUCGGGCAUGAGGCUGUGGUGUGAAAGCGGUUCUAGUGUGAACAGGGAAAUUCCAUGAAGAGAGUUGUUUUGUCAAGCAUGAGGCUAUAGUGUGAACGGGGCCCAAAGACACAGACGGAGCCCCUUGCAGAGAACUCUGACCAUCUAGCGCAGCGUAGAUGAGGUUGCAGUGUGAACGAGGUCCAAUGACAUGGACGGUGGCCCUCGCAGAGAACUCUGUUCACCGAAAAUGAGGUUGUAGUGUGAACGGGACCCGAUGACACUGACGGAGCCUCUUCUAGGGAACUCUGUGCAUCCGGUGGUUCAUAUUUUUGGGAGUGUGAUAUAACUGACUUUUGAAAUAAAUUAGUGAUGAAAUGAA